rnacentral:rRNA from 1 species
CAGAACGAACGCUGGCGGCGCGUCUUAAACAUGCAAGUCGAACGAUCUGUAGCAAUACAGGGAGUGGCGGACGGGUGAGGAACACGUAGGAAUCUACCUAGAAGAGCGGGACAACCUUGGGAAACCGGGGCUAAUACCGCAUAGUACAGUGAUGUUAAAGGGCUAGCAAUAGUCGCUUCUAGAUGAGCCUGCGGUCUAUCAGCUUGUUGGCGGGGUAACGGCCCACCAAGGGCUACGACGGAUAGCCGGUCUGAGAGGAUGAUCGGCCACACUGGCACUGAGACACGGGCCAGGCUCCUACGGGAGGCAGCAGUUAAGAAUCUUGCGCAAUGGACGAAAGUCUGACGCAGCGACGCCGCGUGAAGGAUGAAGGCUUUCGGGUUGUAAACUUCGGUAGACUGGGAAGAAAAAGUAAGUUCGUUGAGGGCUUACAUUGACGGUACCAGUCUGAAGCCCCGGCUAAUUACGUG